rnacentral:rRNA from 1 species
UAUUAACUCACACCUACCAACGCCCGGGUACUACGAGCCCCAGCUUAAAACCCAAAGGACUUGACGGUGUCCCACCCACCUAGAGGAGCCUGUUCUAUAAUCGAUGAUCCCCGCUAAACCCAACCCCCCCUUGCCAAUCAGCCUGUAUACCUCCGUCGUAAGCUUACCAUAUGAAUGCCCUAAGUAAGUCUAACGGCUACAAACACCAAUACGUCAGGUCAAGGUGCAGCUCAUGGGGCGGUAAGCAAUGGGCUACAAUUUCUAAUUUAGAACAAACGGAACACUGUAUGAAACUCAGUUGUGAAGGCGGAUUUAGUAGUAAAAAGAAAGUAGCGUGUUCUUUUUAACUAGGCCCUGGGACGUGU